GUGGUAGGGAGAAGGAGCUGGUGGGAUUGCACCAUGGCCUGGGCCCCUCUGCUCCUCGCGCUGCUCGCCCAUGGCUCAGGUUCCCUGGUCCAGGCAGCGCUGACUCAGCCCCCAUCGCUCUCAGUGGAGCCAGGAAAGAACGCCCAGAUCACCUGCUCCGGGAGCAGCUAUGCCUAUGGCUGGUACCAGCAGAAGGUGCCUGGCGGUGCCAUUGUCACUGUGAUCUACGGUGACACCAAGAGACCCUCGGACAUCCCUUCGCGAUUCUCUGGAUCUCAGUCUGGCUCCACGGGCACGUUAACCAUCACUGGGGUCCAACCCGAGGACGAGGCCGUCUAUUACUGUGGGAGCUAUGACAGCAGCACUGGUGCUGUUGCUGUGAAGCAGAGAGAUGUGAAAGUGAGCUACAGAAGAGGGUCUCUAUGCUUCUCCCUCCCUGGGGAGCUGGGCUGUUGUUCUGCACAGCUUCAUGUCCCCUCUGCAUGGCCAUGUCUGUGAAUGUCCUUCUGGUUA